GGAAGCGAUCAUACUAGCACUAUAGAAUCGGAUCCCAUUAGAACUCUGAAGUUAAGCGUGCUUGGGCGAGAGUAGUGCUAGGAUGGGUGACCUCCUGGGAAGUCCUCGUGUUACAUUUC